rnacentral:rRNA from 1 species
CCUACGGGGGACAGCAGUAGGGAAUAUUGCUCAAUGGGGGAAACCCUGAAGCAGCAACGCCGCGUGGAGGAUGAAGGUUUUCGGAUUGUAAACUCCUUUUGUUAGAGAAGAUAAUGACGGUAUCUAACGAAUAAGCACCGGCUAACUCCGUGCCAGCAGCCGCGGUAAUACGGAGGGUGCAAGCGUUACUCGGAAUCACUGGGCGUAAAGGGCGCGUAGGCGGGAUAGCAAGUCAGAUGUGAAAUCCUAUGGCUUAACCAUAGAACUGCAUUUGAAACUGUUAUUCUAGAGUAUGGGAGAGGUAGGUGGAAUUCUUGGUGUAGGGGUAAAAUCCGUAGAGAUCAAAAGGAAUACUCAUUGCGAAGGCGACCUGCUAGAACAUAACUGACGCUGAUGCGCGAAAGCGUGGGGAGCAAACAGGAUUAGAUACCCGGGUAGUC